UACGGAGGAUGCGAGCGUUAUCCGGAUUCACUGGGUGUAAAGGGAGCGUAGACGGAAUUGCAAGUCUGAUGUGAAAAUCCGGGGCCCAACCCCGGAACUGCAUUGGAAACUGUAUUUCUAGAGUGUCGGAGAGGCAAGUGGAAUUCCUGGUGUAGCGGUGAAAUGCGUAGAUAUCAGGAGGAACACCAGUGGCGAAGGCGGCUUACUGGACUGUAACUGACGUUGAGGCUCGAAAGCGUGGGGAGCAAACAGG
rnacentral:rRNA from 1 species